UCAAGAAAACUAGAUCAAAAAUUUCAAGAACCACCCCACAAAGGGCUUCGGCCGAACCCAAAAAAGAAAAGAAAAAGAAAUUCCCAAGUUCUAUUGUUGAUCCAAAAAUCCAAAGUUUUCACAUAUUUGUGAAGUACUCAAGGCCCUCUUCAACGGGGUAUAAUUAGUUUGGCGCAAGAACGACGUUUACGACAAGUCGGGUUUUCAAGAAAAGAUUUUUGACGAAACGGAACUGGACUUUCGGGAGAGCUUACGACGUCUGUGAGGUGCAGAUAUCGGUGAUCCUCCGCAGUAGGCUUCACUUCUUGCUAUUCCGGAGUACUCCUAUUUGAUCCGGAGUCCACUUUUGGUACAGACUCUUUUUGCUUUGUAUAUAUUCGGUAUAUUUGACUAUUUGGGUACGGCGGGGCCCUGUCUCGCCAUAUGUCUUUGUUUUGAGUUCGUAGAGGCCUGUAGUCAUAUAUGUGGGGCGAGGGUCCUAUGUAUG